UCUCAGCAAUCCGCAGACCCAGAUACUUCCAGGGUGGCAUCCGUUGAACUUUGUCCUCCUGGAGUUGAAAGCCUGCAGAUGUUAAAACCUUAACCACUCGGUCAAGUGAUCGGCCUAUAAUCAGCCGAGGAAAGGAGGCAGGAAAACAAUUCUUUCAGGUCAUAGGGAACCAUUUCAUUCGCAGAGAAGGCCUACCCCCCACCCUUUCCCAGGCAUGGGAACCGGAUGUUGAAGCGUGGGAACCAGAAGGGGGAGCGUGGGAACCAGGAGCCGGAAGGGGCGAGACUGGAGGACUGCCUGAGGAGGAGGGCAAGAGGGAGGAGCGACAAUCGGAGGAGGCGAGGUUCAGUUGGGUGACAUCAGCAGG